rnacentral:rRNA from 1 species
UACGUAGGGUGCGAGCGUUGUCCGGAAUUAUUGGGCGUAAAGAGCUUGUAGGCGGUUCGAUAAGUCGGGUGUGAAACCUCCAGGCUCAACCUGGAGACGCCACCCGAUACUGUCGUGACUAGAGUCCAGUAGGGGAGCGUGGAAUUCCUGGUGUAGCGGUGAAAUGCGCAGAUAUCAGGAGGAACACCAGCGGCGAAGGCGGCGCUCUGGGCUGGAACUGACGCUGAGGAGCGAAAGCGUGGGGAGCGAACAGG